CUCCCACUCUUCCCCUCUCUUCCUGGCUGGGGUGAAGAAGGCAAGCUCUUCUCAUCACUAGAAUCUCUUUCUCUCCUCUCCUCCCUAAAUGGGAGAAGAUCCCUGGUUUUGUAUUUCCACCCCUCCUUUUUGCUCUCAGCAUGGUAAAGCAACAAACCACUGGAGGAAAAAAUUGCUUGCUCUCAUGCUUAUUACAAAAACAGAACUUUGCAAAGCACUGGCAGAGGGUUUGGACAUGAAAUCGCAUUCUGUCUACUUUCAUAAUAAUUGGACCACACAGCUUCCUGUCAACACAACACUUUUUGUCACCUUUCAACAUCUUGCACUUUCUGCACAGUUCACACACUAAAACAAUGUGUAAAAGUGGUGUUCAAGAAAAAACAAGCACAUAAAACCAAUAAACUGAGAUUCUCAGUGGUGUUUUUUACCCUUGUAUGUGCUGGAAGAGUCAAAACUCCCCAACCAGCACAUCUGGAUGAAGACGAAUUAAGGUCACUGUGUGGAUUCAAAACACUGAAACCAUGUGAACAGUGUUUCCUGCAGUCUGAUGAAUCCGUCUGUCUCCCAUAUGUUCAAUCAGGACUGGCUUUAGGCACCAGCAAACCAAGCCCAUGCUUGGGGCGGCAGAAUUGCAGGGGCAGCAUUCCAGGAGGUUGUUGUUGGUUUUUUUUGCUUCAGCAGUUGCGCUCUCGGAGGUUUGGUUUUUUUGCUUGGGGUGGCAAAAAACCUAGAGCCAGCCCUGUGUGCAAUAGCUCCUUUACAGACCUGAUUUUUCUGAAGCAUUGCAAAUAAAGAGCCAGAAAUGCACAUCCCCUUCCCAUUUGCCAAUCCUAAGGAUACAUAAGGGCCAAGAUUGCCUUUUAUUGCCCCUAACUAGAUCAACCUCCGCUUCUGAGCCACUCUUUGAUGUCUGUCCCAAAGGGUGACAGCAAAAUGAUCAUUUGUAAAAAAAUAUAGCCUUUAGUUUUUUUGAUUGACAAGCAACCCAGCUUGCCUGAUGGAGAUCUCCAAAACAGCUUGCAAUUACGUCAAAAGCAUCAAAGAGAGUUUGCCAAGCUGAGUGACUUUGGGUAAGUCACAUAACCUUUUGUGUCCCCAUUCAUCAUCUUUUGGGACUUAUUCUAAGAUUUGUUGGGUUAUUUUGUUUUUGUCUUUCAAAAUAAAUUCACACUGGCAGAGAUGGAUAAUCUUUCCAAAAUCCAGAAUAGCAAACUCAAGCUAAGAAUUGAUACAGUGCACUUCCAUUAACUUUCAGUGACAGCUGUGAGCACUCAACCAGCUCACUUUUAUUUAGGUGUCUAUUUCUAGAUUUAGGUGUCUAACUUUACAGAAGAGCAUAAACAUUUCCAUAUUGGGUCAAACCAAUCUUGUCCAGUAUCCUGUCUCCAUCAGUGGUCCAAGCUUGAGCUUCAGGGAAGUGUACAGAACAGGGCAAUUUUGGAGUAAUCCACUCCCAUCUUGCACUCUCAGUUUAUAGAAGUCAGAACUUUAGGAUCGCACCAAGCACAGGUUUGCAUCACUGACCAUCUUGGCUAAUAGUCAUUGAUGGACUUAUCUUCCAUGAACUUACCUAGUGUGAUGUUGUAUGAUUGAAGUGGACCGUUUAUAUCAUAGAUAUUACCACUGUUAUACAGCUGCAACAAAUCUUGUACAAAGUGUAUCAUGUAAGGUGUUGUGAAAAAAGUUACAAUCUGUCAAGUAUGAUUAUCCCAGUUAAAUCCAUGCAUCAUCAUCUGAAGUUAUGAAUACUGACUAUGUAUUUGUAUCUUAAAUGUGUUUGUUCUUGAGGUGACACCCAUAAGGUAAUUUAUCUCCAGUCUCACCAGCCCAUUGUGAAUGGACCAUUCAAGUUUGAUUGGCCAUUAAGAAGAAUCAACUCUCAAGAUAACUCUUCCUGAGGAUGCCUGAGACAGCAAGGAGCCAAUGGCCACUCCAUGAUUCAGGAAAACAUGCAAGGUCAUGUGAUGUGGACAUGUGACCACAGACUCCAUCUUUUUUUCACUUUCUAUACAAAGGGGCUGUGGGCAUUAUUUAAGGCAGAGGAUAUAAAAGACUCCUGAGACAUCUCCAUUUUGCCUCAUUCCUGCUCCAAUUCUCUGGACUGUGGAUUUACAACUAAAAGGAGUAUUUUGAACUAAGGACCUUCCAAUCUUGUGGAAAUUACCAGAGACUUUUGCAAGUCAGCAGUCUAUUCCAUCACUGCUACAAACCUGAUCUGAGAUCUUUGUUAUCAUUUGUAUGUAUA